rnacentral:rRNA from 1 species
UGGGUAGGGGAGCGUUCUGUAAGCCUGUGAAGGUGGCCUGUGAGGGUUGCUGGAGGUAUCAGAAGUGCGAAUGCUGACAUAAGUAACGAUAAAGCGGGUGAAAAGCCCGCUCGCCGGAAGACCAAGGGUUCCUGUCCAACGUUAAUCGGGGCAGGGUGAGUCGACCCCUAAGGCGAGGCCGAAAGGCGUAGUCGAUGGGAAACGGGUUAAUAUUCCCGUACUUGGUGUUACUGCGAAGGGGGGACGGAGAAGGCUAUGUUGGCCGGGCGACGGUUGUCCCGGUUUAAGCGUGUAGGCUGGUUUUCCAGGCAAAUCCGGAAAAUCAAGGCUGAGGCGUGACGACGAGGCACUACGGUGCUGAAGCAACAAAUGCCCUGCUUCCAGGAAAAGCCUCUAAGCAUCAGGUAACAUCAAAUCGUACCCCAAACCGACACAGGUGGUCAGGUAGAGAAUACCAAGGCGCUUGAGAGAACUCGGGUGAAGGAACUAGGCAAAAUGGUGCCGUAACUUCGGGAGAAGGCACGCUGACACGUAGGUGAAGUGAUUUACUCAUGGAGCUGAAGUCAGUCGAAGAUACCAGCUGGCUGCAACUGUUUAUUAAAAACACAGCACUGUGCAAACACGAAAGUGGACGUAUACGGUGUGACGCCUGCCCGGUGCCGGAAGGUUAAUUGAUGGGGUCAGCGCAAGCGAAGCUCCUGAUCGAAGCCCCGGUAAACGGCGGCCGUAACUAUAACGGUCCUAAGGUAGCGAAAUUCCUUGUCGGGUAAGUUCCGACCUGCACGAAUGGCGUAAUGAUGGCCAGGCUGUCUCCACCCGAGACUCAGUGAAAUUGAACUCGCUGUGAAGAUGCAGUGUACCCGCGGCAAGACGGAAAGACCCCGUGAACCUUUACUAUAGCUUGACACUGAACAUUGAGCCUUGAUGUGUAGGAUAGGUGGGAGGCUUUGAAGCGUGGACGCCAGUCUGCGUGGAGCCGACCUUGAAAUACCACCCUUUAAUGUUUGAUGUUCUAACGUGGACCCGUAAUCCGGGUUGCGGACAGUGUCUGGUGGGUAGUUUGACUGGGGCGGUCUCCUCCUAAAGAGUAACGGAGGAGCACGAAGGUUGGCUAAUCCUGGUCGGACAUCAGGAGGUUAGUGCAAUGGCAUAAGCCAGCUUGACUGCGAGCGUGACGGCGCGAGCAGGUGCGAAAGCAGGUCAUAGUGAUCCGGUGGUUCUGAAUGGAAGGGCCAUCGCUCAACGGAUAAAAGGUACUCCGGGGAUAACAGGCUGAUACCGCCCAAGAGUUCAUAUCGACGGCGGUGUUUGGCACCUCGAUGUCGGCUCAUCACAUCCUGGGGCUGAAGUAGGUCCCAAGGGUAUGGCUGUUCGCCAUUUAAAGUGGUACGCGAGCUGGGUUUAGAACGUCGUGAGACAGUUCGGUCCCUAUCUGCCGUGGGCGCUGGAGAACUGAGGGGGGCUGCUCCUAGUACGAGAGGACCGGAGUGGACGCAUCACUGGUGUUCGGGUUGUCAUGCCAAUGGCACUGCCCGGUAGCUAAAUGCGGAAGAGAUAAGUGCUGAAAGCAUCUAAGCACGAAACUUGCCCCGAGAUGAGUUCUCCCUGAGACUUUGA